rnacentral:rRNA from 1 species
GACGAACGCUGGCGGCGUGCUUAACACAUGCAAGUCGAACGGAAAGGCCCUGCUUUUGUGGGGUGCUCGAGUGGCGAACGGGUGAGUAACACGUGAGUAACCUGCCCUUGACUUUGGGAUAACUUCAGGAAACUGGGGCUAAUACCGGAUAGGGGCUCCUGCUGCAUGGUGGGGGUUGGAAAGUUUCGGCGGUUGGGGAUGGACUCGCGGCUUAUCAGCUUGUUGGUGGGGUAGUGGCUUACCAAGGCUUUGACGGGUAGCCGGCCUGGGAGGGUGACCGGCAACAUUGGGACUGAGAUACGGCCCAGACUCCUACGGGAGGCAGCAGUGGGGAAUAUUGCACAAUGGGCGGAAGCCUGAUGCAGCAACGCCGCGUGCGGGAUGACGGCCUUCGGGUUGUAAACCGCUUUCGCCUGUGACGAAGCGUGAGUGACGGUAAUGGGUAAAGAAGCACCGGCUAACUACGU